CGCAGCCGCCGCGGAGAGCGCGGUGCGCGGUGCGGGGCGUGCAGGAGCACGGCCCCAAAGCCGGGCAGGAGCAGGGCCUGAGCCGGCGGGCGCAACAGGAGCGGGGCGGGGGGCGGCGUGAAGCGAGCCCCCCAGGCCGGGCCCGCUGGUGGGUGCGGCGGGGCCGGCAAGAGGAAGGGGAGGCCAGGGGCGGGGUGCAGGAGGAGGGCGAGUUCUACUCGGGGGAGCAGGAGCACCCCGGCGGCACCCCCGGCACACGGAACCCCGCACACCGCCCGAGCCGCAGGCGGGCAGCCCGGGUGUGAGGCCGGCCCCAGCCCCUGCUGCUGGCCGCCCCGCGGGGGGAUCCCCCGGAGACCGGGCUGCCGCCGGCGUCGAUCUGCGCACCACGGCCCGACAGGCGGGCGGGCGCAUCCUGCCUGGCAUGCGGGCUGCCCAGAGAGCGGCCGUGCCGGUCCUCUGCCUGCGGUGACGCUGUGGACCCGGCGCAGGAUGCGGUGGCAGUGGCGGUGAGCACAGAGGACAGUGCAGGCAGUGGGGUCUGGAGUGAGUGGGUGCCCGGUGCCCGUGAGCCCUCCCAAACCGCAGCGGAAGCUGGGGGAAGGUUUUUUUUUCCUGGAGAAAAGGCGGCUUUGCUCUGCUCUUCCUCUUCCCCGCGCUCGUGGGAGCUCCAGCGCUGAACAGAGGAUCCUUGUCCUCCCGAGCCGGCCCUGCGCACUGGGGUGUUGUGCUGCUGCUGGAACACGAAGCAGCGAUGAGGUGCAGGGAGCCUCUACCCACUAGCUUGGUGGGCAACACCGUGUCUGUGUCCAUCCACACUGUAGCGGGUUUUUCUCUACACACUCGGGACCCUUCGGGUACUUUUGUUCCUUGUUGAUUUUGUUUUUUUUAAUAAAGCCUGUAAGUUAAA